rnacentral:tRNA from 2 species
GAGGAGAUUGCCGAGCGGUCAAAGGCGCUGGGAUGAGGACCCAGUCCUUAGUGGUUCGGGAGUUCGAAUCUCCCUCUCCUCACCA